rnacentral:tRNA from 1 species
GCUUGGGUGACUCAGUCCGUGGAGCGUCUGACUUCAGCUCAGGUCACGAUCUCACGGUUCGUGGGUUCGAGCCCCACGUCGGGCU